rnacentral:rRNA from 1 species
GACGUAGGGCGCGAGCGUUGUCCGGAUUUAUUGGGCGUAAAGAGCGCGUAGGCGGCCCGGAAAGUCGGAUGUGAAAACCCGGGGCUCAACCCCGGGCCUGCAUCCGAUACUCCCGGGCUGGAGGCAGGUAGGGGAGAUCGGAAUUCCUGGUGUAGCGGUGAAAUGCGCAGAUAUCAGGAGGAACACCGGUGGCGAAGGCGGAUCUCUGGACCUGUCCUGACGCUGAGGCGCGAAAGCUAGGGGAGCGAACAGG